rnacentral:lncRNA from 1 species
UCACAUCAUCAACGGGGUGCUGGAAGGCUACGAUGGUUUCCGAAGCGUUGCUCAAGUUCUUGUAGAUGUUGGGGGGGCACUGGCUUGAGUGUGUCAAAGUUGUACUCAAAAACUGCUACAAUACACUGUCAGUCGGUGGGAAAAUCAUAAUCACGGACCAUCCGCACCAGAAGGCAGCCAUCGAUCAAGAUCUGAGGAUGCUAGUUUUCACUGGAGGGAAGCAGAAGAGUACAAGCGAGUGGAAAGAUCUGCUCACGUCGCAAGGCUUCUCAAACGUCAACUUCAAACCUCUCCCCGCAGUCAAGUUUGCAGCUGUCAUCGAGGCCUUCAAGUAAGAAAAGUCUCUGAAUGCAAUAAAUCCUUUGUCAUCUUGUUGGUGGUGCACGCUCAUAUGGCCACCUACCAAGAGACCCAUUCUUAUUCUCUAAUAAGAAUCCUACUUCUCUACACGGCAACCUGAACCGGAUGGACGUGUCAGGCGAGUGAUUGGGAAAGGCGAGCAAGUGCGUGAGGGCCGAAAGCGGAGCCGACCCUCGACCCCAGUCCAACUCGUCUCCUAGGGGACAUUCCCGGAGCAAAGCACAAGCCCCUGCUCACAAAGGCCGUGGCAAAUGGAGCGUAAGCGAUACAGGGACUCUUCCAGAGAGGAGGAGGUUUUGCGGCUGCAUUGGAGCCCCUUAAAGAACAUAUAAGAACAAGAAAAGCCGCGGUACCUUGUUUUACCAUGGCUUUGUUAACUUAUUAUGCGUGCCGGCGUGGGAGAAAACACGUCCAUGAUCUACGUGAACUUCCAGGUAUGGUAUCAGUGACAGUGAAUGACAAACUCAGGAGGAAAAAAUAUUUUCGAACGUAAAAAAGAAGCCAGUCACCAGCAGCAACACCCACAGACGUCUUGCCUGCACACGACGAAAUCAAGGAGUAAGAGAGCAAUGAGGCGGGCGAGGCAGCUGUGGACGACCAGGUGGAGCAUGCUGAGGUCGUGGAGGAGGAAGAAAAGGUGGCGGAGCCAGAGGUAUCAAGCGUCGUGCCGGAUUCCAUGCAUGGUACGGAUCCCGUGAUGGAGGAGACACUGGCAGCAGCUCCUUGAAGACAUUCGAGGUUUGGCCCUUUCACCAGCAACGGCCAGAGGCGUUCGUGAUCUGACAGUUGACCUUUCUGCAGGAGGCGGUGGUGGCAGUGGCCUAGACAUGAAAGCAAAGGAUGAAAAUCCAUCUGGAGAAUUGCUGUGACAACAAUGACAUGGGCAGGCUCAUGGGAAAAGCAUCUUUGAAUCUGCUGCGAACGACCCUGUUUUUGCAGACUUAUGGUUCGGAUUUCUUAAUAGCUUUGGUCGCAUCAUCAACGGGGUGCUGGAAGGCUACGAUGGUUUCCAAAGCGUUGCUCAAGUUCUUGUAGAUGUUGGAGACGGCACUGGCCUGAGUGUGUCAAAGAUUGUGCAAGCCUUUCCACACAUCAAGGGAGUGAACUUUGAUCUUCCACAUACAAUUGGAAGUGGCACUCAGAACUUUCACAAUUGGAACAACGAAAAAGCUAAGGCUGUACUCAAAAACUGUUACAAAGCAUUGCCAGUUGGUGGGAAAAUCAUAUAUCCGAUCCACAAGAAGGCAGAAGAAGACAGAAGAAGGCAGAAGAAGGCACCAGAAGGCAGUCGGCAAUCAAGACCUAAUGAUGCUAGUUUUCAGCAGAGGAGUGCAAGUGAGUGGAGAGAGCAGCUCGCAUUGCAAGGUUUCUCAAAUGUCAACUUCAAACCUCUCUCCACAGUCAGUCAAGUUUCAAGCUGUCAUCGAGGCAUUCAAGUAAGAAAGUCUUUGCAUAAUGGAGAAAGUCUCAUUGUCAGCAUCUUGUGGCUAGCAUUAGUGAUGAUGGUGGAAGAGACUUUUGAUGAUGUUGUCAUGAGGCAGGGAUGCCAAAUUAUUGAAGUUCAGAGUGACAUUAAGAAAGUUAAGGAUUCACCCACCAAGAGAAAUCUGUAAAAGAUCAUACCCAUCUCUAAUAAGAAUCCGACUUCUCUAAGAUAAUAUCAUUGGGUUGAGUAUAGACCCUUGUAAAAGAAGAGAUUGCAAGUAGGUUUUAAAAUAAAGACUUCAUUGUUGAUGUUGCAAUGCCACUGAUGUUCAUUAGAUUAGCAUACCAAAUCAGCUAGAAAUAGAAAAACUGUACAAUACAAGUUUUUCAUUUCAAAGGGUGCAUAAUAAGAGAAGAUCAAGCUUGCAAAGGAGUUAAAGAGGAGGAAAACAAAUUUGAGGAGCCACAACAAGUUGAGCUCGAGCUGCCUGUCCAAAAUGUCACGCAGGCUGCAAGGAAGGUUGUUUGGGAGCCGGAAGCUGCCAAAAGAUGUUGGAGAUGGUACUCUGAAAGGUUUUGCCCUUUCACCAGCAACUGCACUUCUCUAUUUAACAUUUUUUAAGUCUAAAAUCUAGUAGCCCAGACAUGAAAGCGAAGGAUGAACAUCCAUCUAGGGAGUUACUGUCAACAAUGACAUGGGCAGAUGAUAAGGAGGAGGUUUUGGGAGCUGUUGGUGUCCAUCACGUGAAGGUGUUGUCAUCUACGAACUCCGCUUUAUAAAGGUCAUAGUAUCAUUAAGUUUUCUAUUGUGAACAACCUUACUAUGGAGGCGCUAGAUAGCUAUCAUAUGAUGCUCUCUCUUGCUGAAUCGUUUUCUACUCCAUUUGUGAUUAAGGCAAUCAUCAAACUGGGAAUACCCAAUAUUCUGGCGAAGUCGGACAAGCCAAUCCACGUUGAUGAGAUAUGUACCAUUCUCCAAGCUGCAACAGGCCAGGCUCACAACUCGGAAAUUGUCCGAAGGCUCAUGCAAUCUCUUUGCAGGAAGAACAUAUUUGAAGAGCAGCCCGCUGGAGUCUUUGGGCACAACUCUCUAUCGCGCUGGCUCAUAGACGGCACUCCAAAAUCGUUCGCAUCCUUAUUCCUGUUGACAACCUCAGAGGCAGGGCAAGCUGCUUGGCACCAUCUGCACGAACUGGCUUUGGAAGGGACUUCGUCUUCAACUUCUGCAUUUGCUAAGGCUCAUGGGAAAAGCAUCUUUGAAUUUGCUGCGAACGACCCUGUUUUUGCAGACUUAUGGUUCGGAUUUCUUAAUAGCUUUGGUCACAUCAUCAUCAACGGGGUGCUGGAAGGCUACGAUGGUUUCCAAAGCGUUGCUCAAGUUCUUGUAGAUGUUGGAGGGGGCACUGGCCUAAGUGUGUCAAAGAUUGUGCAAGCCUUUCCACACAUCAAGGGAGUGAACUUUGAUCUUCCACAUACAAUUGCAAGUGGCACUCAAAACUUUCCAGGUUCUCUCUCUCUCUCUCUCUCUCUCUCUCUCUCUCUCUCUCUCUCUCUCUAAUCUUUCUUUGAAAUUUAGGAGUAGAACAUAUUGCUGGGGACAUGUUUGAGUCCGUUCCAAAAGGGGAUGCGAUAUACAUGCAGGUGCGUGUAAGCUCAAGAUAAAAGAUGAUACCCUGAGAGCUUUAGAAUCUGCAGAAAGUUUUGCACAAUUGGAACGACGAAAAGGCUAAAGCUGUACUCAAAAACUGCUACAAUGCACUGCCAGUCGGUGGGAAAAUCAUAAUCGUGGACCAUAUAUUCGAUCCACAUCAGAAGACAGUCAUCGAUCAAGACCUGGGGAUGCUAGUUUUCACUGGAGGGAAGCAGAGGAGUGCAAGCGAGUGGAGAGAGCUGCUCGCAUCGCAAGGUUUCUCAAACGUCAACUUCAAACCUCUCCCCGCAGUCAAGUUUCAAGCUGUCAUCGAGGCAUUCAAGUGAGAAAGACCUCUGCAUAAUGGAGAAAGUCUCACUGUCAGCAUCUUAUGG